rnacentral:rRNA from 1 species
CGUACAAGGUCUCCGUAGGUGAACCUGCGGAGGGAUCAUUACAAGAACGCCCGGGCUUCGGCCUGGUUAUUCAUAACCCUUUGUUGUCCGACUCUGUUGCCUCCGGGGCGACCCUGCCUUCGGGCGGGGGCUCCGGGUGGACACUUCAAACUCUUGCGUAACUUUGCAGUCUGAGUAAACUUAAUUAAUAAAUUAAAACUUUUAACAACGGAUCUCUUGGUUCUGGCACCGAUGAAGAACGCAGCGAAAUGCGAUAAGUAAUGUGAAUUGCAGAAUUCAGUGAAUCAUCGAAUCUUUGAACGCACAUUGCGCCCCCUGGUAUUCCGGGGGGCAUGCCUGUUCGAGCGUCAUUUCACCACUCAAGCCUCGCUUGGUAUUGGGCAACGCGGUCCGCCGCGUGCCUCAAAUCGUCCGGCUGGGUCUUCUGUCCCCUAAGCGUUGUGGAAACUAUUCGCUAAAGGGUGUUCGGGAGGCUACGCCGUAAAACAACCCCAUUUCUAAGGUUGACCUCGGAUCAGGUAGGGAUACCCGCUGAACUUAAGCAUAUCA